UUGAGUAUUGAUUACUAAUCAACUACUAGCCUGGAAGAUAAAAGCCAAAGCUGUAAACAGACAGGUCAGCUUAACAAGUGCACAUUCUCUGCUGCCAACAGUACCAAUUUGUCAUCCAAGCAACAAAUAUUCCUUGGUAAUCUGCUAUCAGAUGACAGUUUUCUCUUUGGCAUUUUUAUGAAUUAAAGCUUUCAAGGCCAAACCUUAGAUUUGGUUAGCAUAACCCUGAACUGCAUAUCAACAAAUGUCUAAUGGUCUGUCUGGUUCAUUUCUCAACACUAUGAAGAUGGCUACACUGUGACUACAAAGUUUUAUUUUCAUUCACCACACAAUUUUACAAAAGAAGAAAAUAUUAAAAGCUAUAGAUAUUAAGUUUGUUAGACAACUUUCUUAUUUAUUUGAUGUAUUACUUAGCCUUGGACAGUGCAUCAUCAUAACUAAUAUAAUGUUAAAAGGCAUUUAUAAUAUUAAUUUAAAAUUUAGGUCAAUCAAAUAAGAUUAUGUGAUCACAAACUGUUUUCAGGUUAUCAGCUAUCAGCAGGCACCCCUAUGAUAUACAAGUCUUCAUUGCCAAGUCACUCUGCCAAACAGUGUGUAUACCUUUCUUGCAUAGGUAGUGACCCACUUUACUGUACUUCAAUGUCAGGAGUCUGGAUAUGUCUGGCCAAGGAGAUCAAAUUUGUGUCCAAGGUUACUUAGGUAAUUCUCUAAGAACAAUAGGUUAGUGGCUCAAUCAUUGUGCACUGAUUCUCCACUGAUGCCUUGGUUCUCCACUGAUGCCUUGGUUCUCCACUGAUGCCUCGGUUCUCCACUGAUGCCUCGGUUCUCCACUGUCACCUUUAUUGUCAUAAAGUUUAUCUAGUGAUCUACAUAUCAAGACUAAAUGGUCAAUUAAACAUGGGUCAAGGAAAAAGGAUGAACAUUUCAAGGUUACAGAAGGAACAUUAAACGUCUCUCUCACUGUGAAAAGAUUCUACCGAUCUACAAAUGAUCAACAUGUUUUAUCUUAAGUUCGUCUGCCAUUUCUUCAAAUGGAGCCAUAUUAAGAAUAAGAAUGGAUGGCUGCCUGGUCAUGUGAUAUGUGCGCUGGACUGUGUGUGGUCAUCUUGAUGCUCAUAUCUUGCCUGAUGUCAUUUAUUCUGCUGGACAUUUGAUCAAGGAAGUAGAUUCUCUUAACUCUCGAGGAACGUUCAAAACAUGUCAAACAUUUGACAAUAAUAUCAAGCAAGUGUACGUACCAACAUGAUGAAAAGGUAGACAACCACGAAGAUGUAGACCAACAUGAAGAUGUAGACAAGCUUGAAGAUGUAGACCAGCAUGAUGAAGAUGUAGACCAACAUGAUGAAGAUGUAGACCAACAUGAAGAUGUAGACCAACAUGAAGAUGUAGACCAGCAUGAUGAUGAAAUGUAAACCAAAAUAUUGAGAUGUAUGGAAUAAAAAGUGAACAUCUUGAGAAAUAAAACAAUUCCUAGAGGCCAAGACACAGACACAGUAGAUACAUUAGAGAUUUUUUCCUUUUCUACCAUCAUUUAGAGCCUUCUUUGUGCUCUAGGGGAACCUGCCAUUAUCUUUUGAUAGCUCAUUGUCGGUGAAGAUGUUUUUACAUACCUAGUGCGUCUGAAAGAAAUGAACAUUUCCCUAAUGCUACUUCAAAACCAGAGCUUAAGACAACCUUAGUGACCAAGCUGCAAUACAGGACCCAGUAGGAAACAAGAAUCCUCCCAACCUCAUGUUGAGCACCCAUGCUCACCUACUAGAGUGGCGACACAGACUUCUACACCCAGAGUUAUUUAUCCUGAACCCUGUAAUCCAACCACACAACAUGGUUACAUUACUAGAAGUGGUUGCGAAGUCAGAAAACCUAACAGAUACAAUG